rnacentral:rRNA from 1 species
GAGGCUGACUGCAGCUGACCUACAUGGCCAGUUUGCUCGAGGCUGAAUUAUUUUUUCACCCAUGUCUUUUGCGCACUUGUUGUUUCCUGGGCGGGUUCGCCCGCCACCAGGACCACACCAUAAACCUUUUUAUCUGUAGUUGCAAUCAGCGUCAGUAACAAGUAAAUAAUCAUUUACAACUUUCAACAACGGAUCUCUUGGUUCUGGCAUCGAUGAAGAACGCAGCGAAAUGCGAUACGUAGUGUGAAUUGCAGAAUUCAGUGAAUCAUCGAAUCUUUGAACGCACAUUGCGCCCUUUGGUAUUCCAAAGGGCAUGCCUGUUCGAGCGUCAUUUGUACCCUCAAGCUUUGCUUGGUGUUGGGCGUUUUUGUCUUUGGCUACAGCCCGAAGACUCGCCUUAAAACGAUUGGCAGCCGGCCUACUGGUUUCGCAGCGCAGCACAUUUUUGCGCUUGCAAUCAGCAAAAGAGGUUGGCGAUCCAUCAAGUCUUACUUUCUCACUUUUGACCUCGGAUCAGGUAG